CCUACGGGAGGCAGCAGUAGGGAAUCUUCCGCAAUGGACGAAAGUCUGACGGAGCAACGCCGCGUGAGCGAUGAAGGCCUUCGGGUCGUAAAGCUCUGUUGUCAGGGAAGAACAAGUAUCGGAGUAACUGCCGGUACCUUGACGGUACCUGACCAGAAAGCCACGGCUAACUACGUGCCAGCAGCCGCGGUAAUACGUAGGUGGCAAGCGUUGUCCGGAAUUAUUGGGCGUAAAGCGCGCGCAGGCGGUUCCUUAAGUCUGAUGUGAAAGCCCCCGGCUCAACCGGGGAGGGUCAUUGGAAACUGGGGAACUUGAGUGCAGAAGAGGAGAGCGGAAUUCCACGUGUAGCGGUGAAAUGCGUAGAGAUGUGGAGGAACACCAGUGGCGAAGGCGGCUCUCUGGUCUGUAACUGACGCUGAGGGGCGAAAGCGUGGGGAGCGAACAGGAUUAGAUACCCUGGUAGUCCACGCCGUAAACGAUGAGUGCUAAGUGUUAGAGGGUUUCCGCCCUUUAGUGCUGCAGCAAACGCAUUAAGCACUCCGCCUGGGGAGUACGGCCGCAAGGCUGAAACUCAAAGGAAUUGACGG
rnacentral:rRNA from 1 species